rnacentral:rRNA from 1 species
UACGUAGGGGGCAAGCGUUGUCCGGAUUUAUUGGGCGUAAAGCGCUCGCAGGUGGUUCAUUGCGUCGUGCGUGAAAGACCCCGGCUCAACUGGGGAGGGUCGUGCGAAACGGGUGAACUAGAGGCCAGUAGGGGGAUGUGGAAUUCCAGGUGUAGCGGUGAAAUGCGUAGAUAUCUGGAGGAACACCGGUGGCGAAGGCGGCAUCCUGGACCGGUAUUGACGCUGAGGCGCGAAAGCUAGGGGAGCAAACGGGG